UACACGACAAAGCCCAACCCACAUAAUACACAACCACACUUGCAAUAAUAAAAUAAUAAUAAAACACAGCCACCAACUAGCAGCAAAUUUUUUUUAUAAUAUAAUAUAAAUUAUUUUAGCCUAAAAAUACAAAAAACUUAAAUUUUAAAAUUUUUUAUUUGUAAUUUACAAAUAACCAGCAGCAAUACCCUAAAAAAAUUCAUCCCUCAUCAGCAUGACAUCAUCAACAUUCUACAAGAAAGACUGCAGCAAAGAACAUAGUUAUUAAGGUGACAAACUUUGAACAAUCACAAGCAAGUUGGCCAAUAAAAGCCAUUUGAUUGAUCUUUCUAGGCACUAACAUCUUCAAUCUCAUUCAAUUUCAGCACCUUUAGGUUUAGAGACAUGGAGAAAUACACCCAUCUCGCAGAAGUUCGAAAAGAAUAUGAAUGAAAAACGAAAAUGCCAAAAUUUUUAAUUUUUUUACAUGAAUAUCUUUUUAGGGUCCAUUCAAAUAAGAAAUUUAAAAUUCAAGAAUUUUAUUUAAAAUUGUAUGGUUUUUAGAGUUGGGAUUCUCUUAAUGGGAGCAGAAGAAACCCUGAGGAGGAGAAUGAAUAAUAAAUAAACAUGUAUUUCCUCGGCGUGUGACCCCGAGGUUAUCUGGGGUGAAGGGUUCUAUGCUUGUAUGCACAGUUUUACCAUGAUUUUGGAAGGGAAACAGACCCUAUAGAUGCAUUAUGCAUCCCUCAUGGUGCUUAUUCAUAGUAAUAUACUCGCUUAUUUUUCAUAAUUCGAUUAAGCCUGCCUUCAACAUUCAUGCAAUCCCCAACAGCUUCUUCACAUCUUUCUUUAUGCUGUGAGGGGAACUAGUUGAGGCAUACCGGUUGACAACAUUGCCAUCUUUAU
rnacentral:misc_RNA from 1 species